AGGUUUAGCAAUCCUAACCGACUCAACCUAAUUAGUCAACCUCCUCCCCAAAAUCAACCUACCUCCCCAAAAUCAACUGCUCACCCAGAUAAUCGCUCAACCUCUCGGAAUCCCUCAAUUUCGUCUAUAGUAUGUUAGCUAAAGCGAUCCCCUCAAUUUUGUCUAUAAUCUAUUAGAAAUCCUCUCAUUUUUUGCAAUAUAUAAUGAUGGGAAUCCUAGAUUGAUUGUCUUCACAAAUCCCCAAAGAUAACCAUCUCAAGCUUCUACAAAUUAGUGUAGAAAUUCGCUCUGAGUUGUGGGUUUUAGGAGUUACAGCUUCUUUGGUUUGUCAGAAAGUUCGCCCAAUUCACUCGAAGAAAAUCUCGAAGAGGGUGAUAGACUGAAAGAGAAUGCUGAAGAGAGAGUCUAAGAUAGACAUGUUAUUCAGACCAAAUUUGAAACUUUUUCCUCUGGGAUAGUGGGGCAACCCCUUGCUAAUUAAUAAAUCAGCUUCCACUUGGGACUUUGGGAGUUUAUUCUGGUUGUAUCUAGUUUUAGUCCAGAAAGUUACUUGUAGCUGGUGAAUUGAAAAGAAAGAGAAGCCACACAGUUGUUUGUUAAUAGUUCAUGAUAGGAAUUCUGGGAAUCUUGCUCAAAACUGGCAACUUAGUGUAUCUGGUUGAUACCGGUUAUGAUUCACAACAGAACUCAGAUAAAUCUUAGGAUAUUGAUCCAAUUUCAGAAGGUGGGCGAUUUUGGGCUGGCGAGGUGGCAACCUGAUGGAGACACUGGGGUCGAAACAAGAGUGAUAGGCACAUUUGGGUAACUAGCUCCAGAGUACGCACAAACUGGACAAAUCACAGAAAAGGCAGAUGUCUAUUCCUUCGGUGUUGUACUUGUUGAGCUUCUAACAGGAAGAAAGGUUGUUGAUCUAACUCGAUGCAAAGGCCAGCAGUGCCUUACUGAAUGGGCACGACCCCUUAUGGAAGAAGGUGCUAUUGAGGAGCUAAUCGACCCUCGUCUUGAUAACCGGUAUUUAGAACCAGAAGUCAUUUGCCUUAUGCAUGCUGCAUCCUUGUGCAUUCGACGAGACCCUCACUCCAGACCUCGGAUGUCACAGGCCCCAGGAAUCCUUCCACACCAUCUCCCAGAGUUGCAUGUAGAAAGCUUGUAUCUUCUUUCCGAUGCCACUCUCUUAAAAAGAUAGAAGAAGUUGAUAUUGACACUGAGCAAUUGCAGCAACCAGAUGAUAGUCCUUCUCGGGACUUAAAUUGUAUAUGUAGCUCAUAUUUGUUUGACAUGGGAAGCACUUCACAGUCUAUGCACACGGAAGAGGCAGAAUGUCAGGCUAAGAAUCCUUCUUGUUAUAACCACUAUGCACAGCUAUAUCGGCAGUUUGAGUGGUUGUUGCAGACACUUAUUGAAAAUAAGCCUUUUGAGCAGGUCCAAGAGUAGAAGCCGAGAUUCUUUGUCCAAGCCACUACAGGUUCGAAGGUGCAAGGUAAGAUCCCGUUCAGACAUCAAUCUUGACCUUCUACACAUUCUUGAGGAUGGACAAGAAAAAAGCCGGUGGGGUUUGCUAUCUGUUUAGAAGUCAGAACCAAAUGACUACGCCUCUCCAACAAGUUCAAUCACUUGCAGAAAAGGUAUUGAAUGUCAAAUUCAAGUUUAUUCUUAGCAUGCAAUGGAAGUAAACAUUAGUUGUAAGAAUUUAUAAAUUUACAAGUGCCCUUGAUAGUUUGACUUCCUACAUGAUUAUACAUUCAGGAACAUGUCUAGUGCAUCAUAAACAUAAUAUUAGAUAAUAAUCUUGAUGAUAAUAUUUUAGAUAAUAACCUUGAUGAUAAUCUUGAUGAUCUUAAUAAAAUAUGAUGUUCCUUUAGGGAUCUUAAUAAGAGCACACAUUAUCAUCGAACAAUAAAAUAUGAUGUUCCUUUAGGGAUCAGAAACAUCAUAAACAACAUAAGGGUAUAAUCUAAUAGGUGUGCAAAAUUACAUAAUCAUCAAGGUUAAUUUAAUUAUAUGCUGGCAGCUAUUGGUAUUAAAUACUAGCAUUUCGACUUUCCAUUAUCUUUCACAAAGAGAGGUUUGAUUUGGGAUAAGUGAGAGUGAAUGCUAGGUAGAGCAUAGUUGAUCUUAUUGAUGCCAUUUGCUUUUGUUCUUGUGUUGUCAAAUGUUUUAGUAUGGAGAUGAAUGUUGAAUAUGGCCCGAGUUAUGGACGGUGAUUAUGAUGUAUUGUUGGUCCUUUUGAUGAUAUUUAAUCUGUAUUAUUAUUUCAAUUCGCUUAUUUGACUGUUUCAUUUUUACAAGCUAAGGGAUUUGAUUUUUAUUUCAAUUCACUUAUUCUUUAUCAUUUAUCUCUCACCAACAGAAAAAUAUAUAAUAAGUUUCAGGAUCCUUACAGAGCUCCUGCAUGAAUCAAGCACAGAGAUAUCGGUGUUUACAAGGUUUUCUGCACAGUUGAUGCUCUCUCGUUUCCUUUUAAAAGGAAAAGAAAUACUCUAUUGUUGCUUCAUAAACUCAAGUUAGUUACUGCAUUUUCCUAUUUCCUUACAGAUUUUUGGUACCUGAAUAUCACUCUUGCUCACUUAUUUCAGGUUUUGGACAAUUAUGUCUUGGAGAAUUCCUGUAGUGAAAAAGGUGUUAUAAUGUCUGUCAAUGGUGUUGGUAUAGAAAUGCAUCAUGGGGAUUCCCGGUUUCUACAGCUGGAUCUAAAACUACUGUCCGCAAGAAAGCCGAACUCUUAUAAGUCAGUAACAUCUCCGUCCUAGCUAGAUUAGUAACUAUGUGUGUGCUCUUCUCUGUAGCCGACACUACUGAUUCUUCCAUUAAGAAAUAGACCAUCUGAACAGAAGAGCUGGAUUUUAUGAUGGACAAAGUCGGAUAUUGUUGAUUCAAGUGUAAAUGGUAAAAUGUGAUCAAGAGAUCAACAAGUUAUCUUAAAACAAGCUAGCACGGGGAUAAGAUUUACUCGGUUAAUUAGUCCUAGUUAAUUAGGAAGUUAUUUGGACUAUCUUGAUUAAUGUAUAAAAAAUCAUGCGAGGAAUUGUUUUUAUUUCAGCUUCAUUAGAAGUACGGUGCAAAUUAUCGUACGGAUGGUAUUAUCACUAUUUGUAUGUUACAUUAUUGCUAAUAAAUUAAAGCAGCUUUAUGAUAA